ACCCUCGCUCUGAGACCUGCCACCCACAGGCACAGCCGCCGGGCUCAGGGCAGAGCGGCCGCCGUGGCCCGGAGCCUGCAGUUCCCCGGAUGGCCACUGGGUGCCGCUGCGGCCUCACUCAGAGAACACGGAGCCGGAACCCAACCUAACGUGGCAUCUGGGAGGGCCGCCUGGAGGCAGUGUGAGCCCGAGGGCCUGGAAAGAUGGCGAGCACAGCCUGGACUCCCGCUCAGGUCCUGCUGUAAGCACGUGAACCCACACAGAAGGGACCACAGAGUACGGCUCCUUCCCGUGAAGACACGAGACGUCAAAGCCAACACGUUCAGGAAAUGGAAACGCCCGUGAGAAGGGACAACAAAAGCUACCGCGCACACAGCAGGCACCGUGUCAUCGCGGGCGCUGGCUCUGCCGACCAGAACCAGCCAGCAUCCCGGCCACCCUGUCCCCGGUCCCGCCUCUGCACAUGCCCUCCUGCAGGGGCCGUUUAUGGCACUGGACCGUCUUUUGCCAGUUACAUUUUUUUUUAAUGUUUGUUUGUUUUUGAGAUAACGCGAGAGACAGAGUGCAAGCAGUGGAGGGGCAGACAGAGGGAGACACAGAAUCCGAAGCG